AUAGAUCUCUAUCAACCUAAUCAAAAUUCAAAAUGUUAAAGUUUCAGAGAAAUUGUCAGAACAGAAAUAUAUAUUGGAAUUUAGUUCAGUAAUUUAACACUAACCUCAAAACUAACCACACCACCAAAACCAUUCAUUUGCUUCUUUGCAAUGUGAUGUUCUGGAUGACUUGUCAAGCCCGAAUAAUAUACGUGCCUAAUCUGCAAUUCAUGAAUGCGAGAUGGUACUUAUUCCAGUAUAAAAACUUGCUCCGUUUGUCACUAUAUUUGAGACC
rnacentral:lncRNA from 1 species